rnacentral:rRNA from 1 species
UACGGAGGGUGCAAGCGUUAUCCGGAUUCACGGGAUUUAAAGGGCGCGUAGGCGGCCUGCUAAGUCGAACGUGAAAUCCCUGGGCUCAACCCAGGAACUGCGUCCGAUACUGGUUGGCUUGAAUCCGGGAGAGGGACGUGGAAUUCCAGGUGUAGCGGUGAAAUUCGUAGAUAUCAAGCGGAACACCGGUGGCGAAGGCGGCCUUCUGGACAGUGACUGACGCUGAGACGCGAAAGCGUGGGGAGCAAACAGG